rnacentral:rRNA from 1 species
AUUGAACGCUGGCGGCAUGCCUUACACAUGCAAGUCGAACGGCAGCACGGGAGCAAUCCUGGUGGCGAGUGGCGAACGGGUGAGUAAUGCAUCGGAACGUACCCGGAAGUGGGGGAUAACGUAGCGAAAGUUACGCUAAUACCGCAUAUUCUGUGAGCAGGAAAGCGGGGGAUCUUCGGACCUCGUGCUUUCGGAGCGGCCGAGGUCGGAUUAGCUAGUUGGUGGGGUAAAGGCCUACCAAGGCGACGCUCCGUAGCAGGUCUGGGAGGAUGAACGGCCACACUGGGACUGAGACACGGCCCCGACUCCUACGGGAGGCAGCAGUGGGGAAUUUUGGACAAUGGGCGCAAGCCUGAUCCAGCCAUGCCGCGUGAGUGAAGAAGGCCUUCGGGUUGUAAAGCUCUUUUGUCAGGGAAGAAAUGGUUUGGGCUAAUACCCUGAAUCGAUGACGGUACCUGAAGAAUAAGCACCGGCUAACUACGUGCCAGCAGCCGCGGUAAAAC